UCCGGUGAAGAUAACGAGGAGGCCACACCUGUUCCCAUUCCGAACACAGAAGUUAAGCUCCUUUGUGCCGAAGAUACUUGGCUGGAGACGGCCCGGGAAAAUAGGUUUUCGCCGGAU
rfam:Clostridiales bacterium KA00274 genomic scaffold Scaffold22, whole genome shotgun sequence.